rnacentral:rRNA from 1 species
UACGUAGGGGGCAAGCGUUGUCCGGAUUUAUUGGGCGUAAAGAGCGUGUAGGCGGCCCCGAUAAGUCCGCUGUGAAAGUCCAGGGCUCAACCCUGGAAUGCCCGGUGGAUACUGUCAGGCUAGAGCACAGUAGAGGCAGGUGGAAUUCCCGGUGUAGCGGUGGAAUGCGUAGAGAUCGGGAAGAACAUCAGUGGCGAAGGCGGCCUGCUGGGCUGUUGCUGGACGCUGAGGCGCGACAGCG